GGCCGUGUGGCUCAAUGGCAGAGCGUCUGACUACGAUCCGAACCACCUCAGGGUGGUAUUGGAAAAGCGCAAUCAGAAGGUCGCAGGUUCGACCCCUGUCUCGGUCA